rnacentral:rRNA from 1 species
AGUGAACGCUGGCGGUAGGCCUAACACAUGCGAGUCGAACGGCAGCACAGUAAGAGCUUGCUCUUACGGUGGCCGGGUGCCGGAGGGGGAGGGAAUCAAUCGGAAUCUACUUUUUCGUGGGGGUUAAGGUAGGAAAACUUACGCUAAUACCGCAUCCGACCACCGGUUGAAACAAGGGGUUCUUCGGACUUUCCGGGAUGGAAGAAGCGGAUGUCGGAUUAGCUAGUUGGCGGGGUAAAGGCCCACCAAGGCGACGAUCCGUAGCUGGUCUGAGAGGAUGAUCAGCCACACUGGAACUGAGACACGGUCCAGACUCCUACGGGAGGCAGCAGUGGGGAAUAUUGGACAAUGGGCGCAAGCCUGAUCCAGCCAUACCGCGUGGGUGAAGAAGGCCUUCGGGUUGUAAAGCCCUUUUGUUGGGAAAGAAAAGCAGCAGGUUAAUACCCCGCUGUUCUGACGGUACCCAAAGAAUAAGCACCGGCUAACUUCGUG